UCCCCUGCCCGCGCUGCUGCUUGGGUGGGUGAAAACCUGCUCAAUGCGUCCGAAAAUAGGGCCACGCACUUAAGGGAAAACAGCGUGUGAAAUACUGUAGCACAGACUAACUUUGUGCUGGAUAUUGCCGUGUUCAAAAUGCCUUGUGAUUACGGCAGAUGAACUACUCCUGCAAUGAUUUAAUGGUAAACGGGAGUUUUUAUGCGGCCCUUUGAUAUGUCAUCCAGUGAAAGGAAGGGAGCAACAAAAGCCCUUGGUUAAAGGGGUCUGGUCUAGUCCAGAAGAGGAUGGUUCACUGUCCAUUGAAGAGUAUGAGCCAAGAGCUGAGGACAGGCAGGACAGUGCCCUCUCUGACAAAAAGAACAGCCCUACUGUAGGAAGGCAGGACCAUGAGAGGAACAGCAUCCAUCAGCAGUCCCAUAUAAGUUGUUAAGAGGAGAGGCUCCAGUCUACUUGUGACAUGGAGAAAGAGUGCUGGUUUGACUGUCUUUGUGAAAGUCUGAAGGAUGAAUGGAGCAAACCACAGAGUAAGAAGAGACAAGUUGUACAAAGAUAAUGAUCUGGACAAAGCUUCAAGGUCUAAGGUGACAAAGAACAACCCCAAAAGCUCAUCAGUGGCAAUUUCGGGUUCCAGUGUUCAUUGAUUUCCCACCCUGGGCUUUGCCAGCUGUAAUGUCACUGUCAGUCUAGUGCCAAGGCUCUGGAAAAACAGCAGCCCAAGUGCGGGAUGUUCCCAUGGCUAUAUUUGAAAAGACAAAGGCGGGAGAAAAGGCAAUGAAAAAUUAUUGCAACUUCUCUUGUUAAUGGUUGGUAGUGCUCGCAGUUAUUCGUGAUAACAAAAACAUUUUUUCUACUUCUACAAUGUGUUCCUGUGGUUCAUAAAGGCAAGAGCUGGACCUGAGCUUCAUAGUGAGUGACUUGGCAACCAUCAUGAAGUUAUCUUCAAGCAAAAGAUAAGGUCAGACCUCCAUAGAGGUUUCCAAGCUGGUUCCUGUCAACAUGUCUUCUGUAUUACUUGGGUUGAGGUUAGAAAGCUCUUUACUACAAAUGUUUUAAAAACUUCAUUGUAAAGACUAGUCUAGAUGUACAGUUAUGUUAACCUUGUCUCCAUUUUUCAUCUGUAAGAAAGAAACACCUUUUUUA